rnacentral:tRNA from 2 species
UCCUGGUUAGCUCAGUUGGUAGAGCGCUUCGCUGGAAAAUGAAGAGGUUCCUGGUUCGAUACCAGGACUACGCG